AAGGAAAGUACGUUUUUCAUGGAAACAUCUGCAUUGGAGUCCAUGAACGUGGACAAUGCCUUCACAGAAGUGCUCACUCAAAUACACCGCGUUGUUAGCAGGAAAGCUCUUGAAGUAGGAGAUGACCCUGCAGCAUUGCCGAAGGGGCAGACUAUUAAUGUUGGAGGGAAGGAUGAUGUUUCUGAAGUAAAGAAAGCCGGGUGCUGUUCUUCUUAGAACAAAGAGUAAUACAAAUGGUUGAAGAGAUUCUCUUUGUUUUGAGCGCAAAAAUUGACAUGGCUGUUGUACUUCCCGCUAUAUACUAGGAAGUAACCACAUGGAUUGCUUAUCAAUGAGAGCUUUAUUAACUGGACCUUUUGGGCAUUACUGAAUUGAGUGCAGCCCAAGAUUGAUUAUCCAAGUGACUUCAUAGCAUUCUUUAUCCUUCACAGAAGUGCUCACUCAAAUACACCGUGUUGUUAGCAGGAAAGCUCUUGAAGUAGGAGAUGACCCUGCAGCAUUGCCGAAGGGGCAGACUAUUAAUGUUGGAGGGAAGGAUGAUGUUUCUGAAGUAAAGAAAGCCGGGUGCUGUUCUUCUUAGAACAAAGAGUAGUAACACAAAUGGUUGAAGAGGUUCUCUUUAUUUUGAGCGCAAAAAUUGACAUGGCAGUGGUACAUCUCCCUCCAUAUAGUAGGAAGUAACCACAUGGAUUGCUCAUCAAUGAGAGCUUUAUUAACUGGACCAUACAAAUGGUUGAAGAGAUUCUCUUUGUUUUGAGCGCAAAAAUUGACAUGGCUGUUGUACUUCCCGCUAUAUACUAGGAAGUAACCACAUGGAUUGCUUAUCAAUGAGAGCUUUAUUAACUGGACCUUUUGGGCAUUACUGAAUUGAGUGCAGCCCAAGAUUGAUUAUCCAAGUGACUUCAUAGCAUUCUUUAUCCUUGUUUCUAUAUUUUACUUCCCUGUCAAUGAUUAUAGUAUUAGCUUCUUGUGGACCUCCAUGAUAGGGUAUAUUUGUUUGGAAAAGAUUUGAACUGAUACAUGUAUGAACCCAUUUUAUCCAGCCUUGUACUUGAUUGUUUGAUUAGUUAUGGACUGACGAAUAUUUUAUCUGUUACAAAAGAUAUUAGUACUCUUUCUUUGUUUGCCUUGUACUUGAUUGUUUCAUUAGUUAUGGACUGACGAAUAUUUUCAAUUUCUCAUGUUACAGAAGAUAUAAGCGCUCUCUCUCUCUCUGUGUUUGUGCUAAUUUUGUACACGUGAUUUUGAUUUGUUGUUGACUGAUUUUGCUUAGUACUGCCCUUCUUUUGGAACAGUAUUUUGGUUUAGAUUCAGUAAUAUUUACUGAUAUACUGUGACGUGAGGAGUAUGCCGACGACGCUUUUUCAGUCUUUUACUUUUUGGCAGAUAUUAAAAGUUUGCCUUCGUUGUAGGGAACUGAUUAGCUCUUUAAUUUGGGGUUGCUCAAGAAAAUCAUAAGUACCAUUGAACCAUGAAAUUGCGUUAUAGAUGACAUAACAAGGUAGCCACAUAGACUAGGAACGAACAGGGAACAGACAACUUUUUUAUGGUACUAAAUCUUUUUUGUUAAUCACCAAGAGAAUUAUAAAACUUCAGCUAGACCACAACCCGG
rnacentral:lncRNA from 1 species